CAGAAAGGAGUGCCCAGUGCUUGGGCUGCUGCAGGUGGCAGAGUGGAGCUGUAUCUCUGGCACACACCUCACUGCUGGUGGCAACAGAGGGAGAGAAGACAGAAACAGCCAUAGGCACCAAUUGAAGAUGCUACUCUAAACUGAAGAGUGCCUGAAGGCUCCCGAAGCUCAGAAUUCUUCCCUAGAAUGUUCAGAGGAAACAGUCUCCUAUUAAUACCGUCAUUUCAGACUUCUGGCUACAGAUAUGUGUGGGAACGAUCUUGUUUUAAGCCAGAAAUGUUUGAGAGUGGGGAACUGCUUGUGAACUUCAGGGAUAUAUUCUUUUAGAUACAAACAUGCAAAAUUAAAAAGUUGCAACGAACCAUUCAUUCUGCACAUAUGUUUGAGAGCCUACUGUGUGCCCGACAAUCUUCCAGAGAAUAGAUAGCAAUAACAGACAAAUCUCUUCUCUCCUAGAACUGGCAAACAGAAGUCAGAGAGAACAAGAAAUGCACAGCUAUUAGAGUAAGCACCUUAGGGAAGGUCGGGAGAAGAGUUAAC
rnacentral:lncRNA from 1 species